CCCUUAGAUGUCCGGGGCCGCACGCGCGCUACACUGAAGGAAUCAGCGUGGCUUUCUCCCUGACCCGAAAGGGUUGGGAAACCCGUUGAAUCUCCUUCGUGAUUGGGAUUGGGGCUUGAAAUUGUUCCCCAUGAACGAGGAAUUCCCAGUAAGCGCGAGUCAUAAGCUCGCGUUGAUUACGUCCCUGCCCUUUGUACACACCGCCCGUCGCUACUACCGAUUGAACGGUUUAGUGAGGGCCUCGGAUUGGUCUCGGCCCGCUCUUUACCGGGCGGCGCCGUUGGUCGAGAAGACGCUCGAACUUGAUCGUUUAGAGGAAGUAAAAGUCGUAACA
rnacentral:rRNA from 1 species